rnacentral:lncRNA from 1 species
UGAAUUCUCUGUGAAGUGCCAUCUGCCGGAUUAUGCACAGUGUCUCUGCCUUGACCUUUGUGUAAUCGUUCAACAAUAACAAACCCUUUCAGCUUCUAAAAAACCACGGUAAGACAAAUCCCUCAGAAAAUAACCCGUCGUCAGAGAAAGAAGAGCUGGCUAAGAGCCUAUGUGUCGUUUUUCUCAGUUGAGCUGAAAGGAUUGGCAGCAUUGUUCAUGAAAUUCAGAUGUUAGGGUUAUCAUCUUCUAAUUAAAGCAGACAGUGGACCGGGCUUUGUUCAGGAGCCGGACAGAAAUUUAAACGGACUGUGUAAAGCUGUAAAGAGGCUCCCGAGGGAUCUCAUUAUGAACUAUAUGAAGAGAGCCCAUCUGCACCAAGGCAUUGUCUUCAUUCUGCUGUAAAGAUGAGUUCUUGGCUGCUUGCUGUGUCAUGGCAUUUCAACACCAUCAAAAAAUCAUUACAGAUCAGAGAGGAACAGGAAGAUAGACAUGUCAGAUGUUAGACAUACAUUAUGUCACACAGAGUAAUGCAGCACCUCCUCAUGGUCUUCAUGAUCUUCUGAUGCAUGCUUCUCCAGAUAGUCGGUCUAAGUGUUGGAAGAUGCUCUCCUCAGGUUGAGAUAUGGCAGAGAUGAGCUCCUCACACUCAUGAGCUGUCAGCAGCUCCACCAGGCGCUCCAGCUGGUAAGGUCCAAUGUCCUCUGCCACUGUGGCAAAAGUGGAAAAAUCGGACACAUUUCAAUAUGUUGUUUUUUCC